rnacentral:rRNA from 1 species
UACGUAGGGUCCGAGCGUUGUCCGGAAUUAUUGGGCGUAAAGGGCUCGUAGGCGGUUCGUCACGUCGGGAGUGAAAACUCGGGGCUUAACCCCGAGCCUGCUUCCGAUACGGGCAGACUAGAGGUAGGCAGGGGAGAGUGGAAUUCCUGGUGUAGCGGUGAAAUGCGCAGAUAUCAGGAAGAACACCCGUGGCGAAGGCGGGUCUCUGGGCAGUAACUGACGCUGAGACGCGAAAGCGUGGGGAGCAAACAGG